rnacentral:rRNA from 1 species
AUUGAACGCUGGCGGCAGGCCUAACACAUGCAAGUCGAACGAGUGGCGGACGGGUGAGUAAUGUCUGGGAAACUGCCUGAUGGAGGGGGAUAACUACUGGAACCGGUAGCUAAUACCGCAUACCAUCGGAUGUGCCCAGAUGGGAUUAGCUUGUUGGUGGGGUAACGGCUCACCAAGUAGACGAUCCCUAGCUGGUCUGAGAGGAUGACCAGCCAGACUGGAACUGAGACACGGGCCAGACUCCAACGGGAGGCAGCAGUGGGGAAUAUUGCACAAUGGGAGCAAGCCUUAUGCAGCCAGGCCGCGUGUAUGAAGAAGGCCGUCGGGUUGUAAAGUACUUUCAGCGGGGAGGCGUUACCCGCAGAAGAAGCACCGGCUAACUCCGUGCCAGCCGCCGCGGUAAUUC